UUCCUUAAAUGCUCCUCUAAGUUCACGAUCAAAGUUAAUAUAGCCCGCGAUGGUGGCGCUUUUAAAAAUUUCACAGACCGAGGGAGAUAACGGGGAGGGGGUUCACCCAGCUUUUCCAAAGAGCCCUUUUCCCUCCGUCCCCACCCCUUCUCCAUCGUAAAAAGUCGAGUCGUUGGGAGAGAGGGCUUUGUAGGUUAUAAUAAAAUCCUUUGAAUGCUUAUAAAACUCCACAUAAAAUCGGACUGACCCAAAACACGAGGCCGUCCCCGCUCCCCUCGCCUCCCCCCUACUCUCGCCCUCCCUCUCUGGCUCCCUCCCUCCUGCCCGCCUGUUUCACGGCCGCUGCUACCUACUGGGGGCGGCUCCCUUGGCCGGCUCCUUGGCCGCCGAGUGGGCUGAACCGGACGAGCUGGGAUUCGUGUUUUCCUCCUCGGCCUCGGCCGCCUCGGGCCCCGCCUCAGCCCGGGACGCCAGUCCCGAGGCCGGGGGCGCCUCGGGCUCCCCCUUGGCCUCACCCUUGCCCGGGCAGGGGGGCUCGGCGGGCGCGUCGCCGCCACCGCAGUAGGCGUUGUCGAAGAAACGGUCGAAGGCUUGGGGCAGGACGCUGUUCUUGUUGACUGAGGAGUAGAAGCCGGCGGGGGCGGCGUGCGGGGCGCUGGGGUGGUGGUGGCCGCCGUAGGAGCCUUCGUUUUUCAUGAGGAUCUCGGUGACGGUGGAAGGAGGCAGGCACUCCCGGUGCAUGAGCUCGUCGGCCGCCGCAUAGCAGGAGGAAUAGCUGUUCCGGUGGUGCCACUUGCCGGUGGGCUCCAGGCCGUAGGAGACCUCCCGGACCGGGGGCACUUGGGCCGGGUAGGGAUAGGAGAUCUGACGAGAGGGGGCCUGGGGCAGGAAGGAGGAGACCGUGGAGAACUCGGGCACGUAGUAAGUGCAACUGGGCAGAUAGAGGUUGGAGGCGCAGCUCCCUCGCUCGCCGAAAUCAGCGCCCCUCUCCUUGCGCGACGGCGAGCAGAAGUUGCCCAGGUUGACCGAGUUAAACAUCGUUCUCUUCUCCUGCCGGCUCCAGAUGGAGGUUUUGGACCUGAUCUAGCGAGGGGGGAAAAUUUGGGAAGGCGAGAUGACGCGUUAUCCGUCUUAGUCUCUCUCCCCGAGCACGUGAUCCAAAGUAGAUAUUGUCAUAUAUCAGUUCGGAGCACUUCGCAGUCGUAGGAGGGGUUCUCUCUUAGGGACUCUUACGCCACCAACCUGAAGAGGGUCACAGCGCGUGUUUACAAGAGUUUGAAGAAGUCGAUUCUUUUCCUGGCCAGGGCUGGCUAUCAAGGCUCCCUUUCCCCUUUGGAGAGACUCCCUGGAAGUGUAUCUGAAGUUUCUCAAAGGACGCGUCUGAGCAGCUGAAAAUCAGUUUAUUGAAAGGUUCUAGACUGGGUACCAGAGCAACUGCCCACAAGCAGAAAGCAACCUGGCGUCCAAGGAGGAGCCACUAGGGCAUCAUCUGUUCUGUUCAGAUCAGCAGGAGGAACUGAAGCCCCCGGGGACGCAGUCCACCGCACCCUUAGGAAAAGCCAGAAAUGGCGCAAACCCUCUUUUAACUCCUAACUCUUGUUUAAAAUUGGUUUCCACUGUAAAAAUAUUAUUUGUAUUUGA